AAGUUGGGCAUUCAGCGCAAGGCAAACUAUUCUUUCGCCUUUUACUAAAGAAUACCGUGUGCUAUGUCGACCAUUUCUUCUACUUAAUACAACUAUUUCUUUGACAAAUAUAAUUUUCGA